rnacentral:lncRNA from 1 species
UGGAGUAGGGAGCACCUGAAAUACUCUCUAUUACCAUAUUAUGUAAUUUCGCUUCAUUUUCUUAUACGUUCAUGAUGGGUAUGUGCCGAUCUGUGUCCAUGUUAUUUUUAUGUAUCUUGAGCAAUUUUUCAUACUGGAUUCCUAAUUGCUAGAGCAUCUAGGCGACUGAAUCAAUAAGACGCCUGCAAAUUGUAAUAUAUGACAAGGUGGGUCAGAACCUUUGGAGAAAAAGAGAGAGAAUGUAUUUGAGGAGAGGCUAAG